CCUACGGGUGGCAGCAGUGGGGGAUAUUGCACAAUGGGGGAAACCCUGAUGCAGCGACGCCGCGUGUGGGAAGACGGUCUUCUGGAUUGUAAACCACUGUCCCCAGGGACGAAAAUGACGGUACCUGGGGAGGAAGCUCCGGCUAACUACGUGCCAGCAGCCGCGGUAAUACGUAGGGAGCAAGCGUUGUCCGGAAUUACUGGGUGAAAGGGGAGCGUAGGCGGGGAUGCAAGUUGGGUGUCAAAACUACCGGCUCAACCGAUAGUCGCACUCAAAACUGCAGCUCUUGAGUGAAGUAGAGGCAGGCGGAAUUCCUAGUGUAGCGGUGAAAUGCGUAGAUAUUAGGAGGAACACCAGUGGCGAAGGCGGCCUGCUGGGCUUUUACUGACGCUGAGGCUCGAAAGUGUGGGGAGCAAACAGGAUUAGAUACCCGAGUAGUC
rnacentral:rRNA from 1 species